AAAUUUGUCGCUUUUUUAAUGUUCUUUUUAGAGCUUUCUUUUUUGCUUCGGCAUUUUAGGAGAUCUUGUUACUUUGAGUAAAUUAGAGUGUUCAAAGCAAACAAAUUAAAACAUCUUUAUGCGUUUGAAUACUACAGCAUGGAAUAACAAAAUUGAACAAGUCAGAAUUUUGUUCUUUUUUCUUAUUUUGGCUUAGUUACGAUUAAUAGGAGUAGCUUGGGGGCAUUUGUAUUCAGAUGUCAGAGGUGAAAUUCUUAGAUUUUCUGGAGACAAACAACUGCGAAAGCAUUUGCCUAAAAUACUUCCAUUAAUCAAGAACGAAAGUUAAGGGAGUGAAGACGAUCAGAUACCGUUCGUAAUCUUAACCAUAAACUAUGCCGACUAGGCUUUGGAGAAAGAUUUAACAUUCAAGGUUUCCUACC
rnacentral:rRNA from 1 species